rnacentral:misc_RNA from 1 species
CCCACACACUCAUGCAGCCGGUCCACGUGCAACCGAGCAUUGCCGCUGCCGCCGUGCGAUGGGCACCCUUUUCAUGAGGUCCUCCGUUGUGGCGAGGCCCCGCUCGAGCAGGACGAUGUGGUUGAUGCCAUCGGCCACCCUGUGCAUCGCACCAUUAAUGCCACUGAUGCCCACGGGCAGGCGCAUGACCAGCGAACACAUGUGGAGGGGCUGCAGCCUGCAGCAUGGAUGGUCCAGCUUGUUCUUGGGCCUUGCGUUCUCUGUGCAAAGGUGCUACUCAUCCGGCGACACCUCCCUGAGCAUGGCCGUGCUGCCGCAGUUGGCACAGAUGGGGUUGCACAUCACCUACUAGAUGUGUGUGGUAAGCAUUAGAAGAGAGCCAGAGCUUGAAGAAGUGGGCAAAAGCGACAUUUCACCACCUUUUCUUCCCUCAUUUUCGAGAAAAUUAAUAAAAUAACGUGUGUGGUGUCCAGGAGCAAAAUAACAAGUUUUUAUAAUGAUAUUCCGCAAACACGAAAUAGCAGUGUUGAACAGCCAAUUCCAUCAAAGAGCGGUGUCCGCUAACGAAAAUCUUCCUAAACGAAAUUGCUCCCUGUGCAUAUGUUUGUUCAUGCUGAUGUCUAGCAUUUCCAUGGC